rnacentral:rRNA from 1 species
ACGGAAGGCAGCAGUGGGGAAUAUUGGGCAAUGGGCGAAAGCCUGACCCAGCGACGCCGCGUGAGGGAAGAAGGUCUUCGGAUUGUAAACCUUUGUCAACAGGGACGAAAGCAAUGACGGUACCUGUGGAGGAAGCCACGGCUAACUACGUGCCAGCAGCCGCGGUAAUACGUAGGUGGCGAGCGUUAUCCGGAUUUACUGGGUGUAAAGGGUGUGUAGGCGGGAAAGCAAGUCAGAUGUGAAAACUAUGGGCUCAACUCAUAGCCUGCAUUUGAAACUGUUUUUCUCGAGAGUGGGAGGGGUAAAUAGAAUUCCCGGUGUAGCGGUGAAAUGCGUAGGUAUCGGGAGGAAUACCGGUGGCGAAGGCGAUUUACUGACCCAUUACUGACGCUGAGACACGAAAGCGUGGGGAGCAAACAGGAUUAGAUACCCUGGUA